CAAGGCAUCGAGCCCCAUUGAAGCAGCUUCCUAGGAAGCUGAUGCCCCUGCCUCUUUACUGUUUCUCUGCUUUGGAAACAGUUCAUUUUGUGCCACUAUUGAACCCAAAACAUAAAAUCAAUCGACGGAGGCAGCACGGGGACGAGGAUUCACGUGUUUGGGUACAGAGUCGAAGGUAAAACUAAAAACCCGGUUUUCGAUUUUAAAGAAGGAUGGAGAGCAUGAGCGUGCACCGGGAUUUUCGGCGUACGCGGAGGACACAGAAGGAGCUGCGGAUUCGUUGAAAGAGCUUUUGGAGUUUGGGAGGAGGAAGGUUCCGAGAAAACUGUGGGGAGAGACGGGGCUUGUUCCUUGCUUUGCUGCACACAAUUCGAAAUGACAGUCAAAGAAAGGCAAUAUUUUCAAAAUGUUUCACAAAAGAAGAAGAUCGUGGUGUUCGAAUCUCAGAAAGAAAAGUUGAUUGAGGCUGCCCCAGAAGCGCUGCUUGUGCAGGGAGGUUGGAGGCAGAAACAAUGAAAUGCAACUGCACAUCAAUGGGAUGCUGCAGUUCGUGCAAAUGGUAGCCAAACGGCUGAGCUUUCUCCUCAAGGGUGGGUAGGAAGACAAGCUGAAGAUGAAAGAGUUCCUCGUAUUGAAGAAAGAUUAUUGGUUGAGGGAGGCAAUAAUCGUCUGUUGAUCCUUGCGAACUCUGCUGAAUUAAUGUCAGAAUCUGAGGAUAGUUUACGUAGAGUACAUGUAAAUCAUCAAGGCUAUGAAGGCUAGUACCUUAAAAAUGGAAAUUUUCUGGUUAGUUUCAAUUUUAUCAGGUAUAUGACUCAUGUUAUGUCACUAAUUAUCCAUCAUCAAUGUUAGAUUCUACCAUGGAGGCUCAACAUUUGGAAGAAAAUGUUAAUGAUGUUAUGGCUACAGAUAAUGGUACAGCUCUCCAACAAAUCAUGGCUUUUGAUCAAGCAAAAAAAUUCAUUGCUUCUGUGACAUGUUUAUCUAGCAACACAUUUUCACAAGUUCUUCUAAAAGUAUCUGCGCUUCUUCGUGUUAUUUUAGAUAGAAUGGGAAAAAAGUUUGAAGAAGACCCAAAUUGCUCAUGAGAGAAACGAGAAGAAAGGAUCUCAUUCUGAAGGAAACUUGCCCCGGUUGAGUCAAAUCCAGCGUCAAGCUUGCCUUAAAAGCCAUCAUUCAUGCAACAGAGCAUCCAAGAGGACACUUGUGGGUGCUUGCAAAGAAGUAAAACUCGCCUGACUCAAAUUCGCCAUCUAGCUUGAUCGGCGAAUCAUGUGCUAGGGAAAGAGGAUACUGCAGGAUGUUCAGAUGGCAAGUUGCCAGGAGGAAUAACACGCCUGAGUCAGAUUUGGCGUCAAGCUCGGUCUACAAACAAUUGCUCACUGCAAGAAGGUACUGGGGAGCAUAUGCACAGUCAUUUAGAUUGCCAAAUUCAUGAAGAUGUCCAGAAGGAAGAUGCAGCUGCAGAAAAAUGUGCAAAGCUAGACAGCCGCCAAUCUUUUUUUUUGGGGAUUUAGGAGCAAAAUCUAGUUUCUCACAAGUGUGGGUUAUGAGUUGGUGAAGCAUGCGCUUCCUGUGAACUAGUUCCCCUCCUUGAAAAUAUUAUUCUCAGUUUUCUAUUAGACAUACAGUUCACACUUGAAUGAAAAAUUUAUGAAUUAUAA